UAGGGAAUCUUCGGCAAUGGACGAAAGUCUGACCGAGCAACGCCGCGUGAGUGAAGAAGGUUUUCGGAUCGUAAAACUCUGUUGGUAGAGAAGAACGUUGGUGAGAGUGGAAAGCUCAUCAAGUGACGGUAACUACCCAGAAAGGGACGGCUAACUACGUGCCAGCAGCCGCGGUAAUACGUAGGUCCCGAGCGUUGUCCGGAUUUAUUGGGCGUAAAGCGAGCGCAGGUGGUUUAUUAAGUCUGGUGUAAAAGGCAGUGGCUCAACCAUUGUAUGCAUUGGAAACUGGUAGACUUGAGUGCAGGAGAGGAGAGUGGAAUUCCAUGUGUAGCGGUGAAAUGCGUAGAUAUAUGGAGGAACACCGGUGGCGAAAGCGGCUCUCUGGCCUGUAACUGACACUGAGGCUCGAAAGCGUGGGGAGCAAACAGGAUUAGAUAGCCCUGGUAGUCCACGCGUAAACGAUGAGUGCUAGAUGUAGGGAGCUAUAAGUUCUCUGUAUCGCAGCUAACGCAAUAAGCACUCCGCCUGGGGAGUACGACCGCAAGGUUGAAAC
rnacentral:rRNA from 1 species